CUCCACUUUUAUCAACAAAUCCUCCAUGGAUCUUGUAUCAAGGAUGGACAACAAGAAAUGGUCAACAUUUCCAACCGAUUGAAUUUCUAAAUUGAGGUGGAAUCUCAUCCAAGCUCGCUCCUUUGUUUGUUCUUCGAGGGCACACUUCAGGAGGGACAAGCACUCCGUUGUAGCACUGUAAUCACUUAGGGAGUUCGUCUUAACCCUUGAAGCUCACCCUUCAGUUGUCAACCUCAGUAUGCCCAGGCUCCCAGACCAAGUCUAUGCAUUUAUGUCAAGUUUUGUUAAGAUUUUGGCUUGCACUUGAAUUAUUUACCUAAGGUUAAAAUGUAUGUAUAUGAUCCCUUUCUAUACCAAUGUUUGUUUAUGCGGUCAUGUAUGUGUAUGGGUAUGUCUAAAAUUAAAUGACUCUCAUGAAUGUGAUCCUGGCAUGUUAGGUUUAGCUCAAUGGAUGCUUUUCUGUGUUAUUUUAUUAUAUUAAA